ACAUUUUUUGCUCUGAAUUGUAAUGACUUUGCUACAUCAAUAAAUCAUGUUGUAUUCUGACUUUUAUCAAAGAUUCUGAGGAAGAAAACUACACGUGGAGGCUUGAAGAUACAAGGGCAGCCCUGACUGUUUUUUUCUCCAACCAGCUACUUUACUCAUGGCCCUUUGAAAGCAGCGAUUCCUGUGAAUCAGCAGUUAAAAUGGAUUUGCUGACAGAGCCCCAAAGAUGCCAGAGAUCAUCCUCAUCUCGCCGUGCGCUCUCUCCACAGAUGGCUGGGGCUCAUGGAGCCAUCACUGCCCCUCCAAUGCAGCCUGCACUUCAAGGGGCUUCACUCCAAGUGCCGCAGGCCUCCAGGCUGAGACACAGAACUGACACAACGUGUGGCCUCUUCACAUCUGCCUUGAGGAGCUUGCCCCUGGAGAAACUGCACAUGACCUCUGCAGACAUUGUUCAGUGCUGUGAAACUUUAUGGUUUCAUUCUAUUCAAUGAAAUAUAUGUGCAAUUUAUGACAAAUGCUGACUCUUGAUUUGCACUGCUAAAAAUAAAGUGAAAUAAAUCUGUGGCUAUUUUUGAUGC
rnacentral:lncRNA from 1 species